AACUCUUAGCGGUGGAUCACUUGGCUCGUGCGUCGAUGAAGAACGCAGCCAGCUGCGAGAACUAAUGUGAAUUGCAGGACACAUUGAUGAUCGACACUUUGAACACACAUUGCGGCCCCGGGUCUCUUAAGGGUCGCGGCCGGCGCUU
ensembl:rRNA 5_8S_rRNA 5.8S ribosomal RNA